GCAGCCGCGGUAAUUCCAGCUCCAAUAGCGUAUAUUAAAGUUGUUGCAGUUAAAAAGCUCGUAGUUGAAUUUCGGGGUCAGCAAGCUGGUCGUGCCACUGGUAUGAACUGGUUUCGCUGAUUCCUCCUUCUUGCAGAACCGUAAUGCCAUUAACUUGGUGUUGCGGGGAAACAGGACUGUUACUUUGAAAAAAUUAGAGUGUUUAAAGCAGGCUAACGCCUGAAUACAUUAGCAUGGAAUAAUGAAAUAGGACGUUCGAUCCUAUUUUGUUGGUUUCUAGGAUUGACGUAAUGAUUAAUAGGGAUAGUUGGG
rnacentral:rRNA from 1 species